UGUUUUUAAAUAAUCAUUUUAUUAUAAUUAGAGAGCUAAGAGUCUGCAAUAUUACAUAACAUUGUGUCCUGAACUAACUGGUUUAUAGGCCAGGAAGGAGGAACCGCAUAGGAGCAAGGAAUUGGCAAGCUUGUAUAUAAGCAUGGUGAGCUAAGAUAUAAGCCGACGAGUUCCUUGAUAUAUUACAAUACAUAAAAACAACAAAUUCAAAUUAAGUAGCAAUAGUUUUACCUUCUUCCAGAAUAUUUAUAGCCUGCCACGGAACAAUUUUGAU
rnacentral:lncRNA from 1 species